AAUUGAUACCUAUAAAAACAGAAGAAACUAUGUAUUAGGAAAAAGAGUAAAUAAUGAGAUCCUCAUUAGUUCCAUGGCAGAAGCAUCAUGGAGUGGGUAACAGCACACCCUCUGACAUCAGAAGUAGAUUGAGAGCCACACCUUACAAGGUGUAUGACCUUGAACAUCUGUGAAGUGUUAACAGUGAUAGAAAUCAAUACCUACUCCCUCAGGACCCUAAUUAGGAUUAAAUGAGAUAAUGAAUGUACCAUUUUUAGUGCACUCUUUCUCUUUGUAAGUAACUGACAAAUAUUUCGAUGGUAACAAUGCUAAAGAUGGGAGAAGUAUGAGAAGUGAAGUGCUUUGGUAAGUUACAGGGGAAAAGAAACACAGAUGAAUUUAUAGGAGGUAUGGUGAGUGGAAUCGGAGAAGGAAAUGGCAACCCACUCCAGUGUUCUUGCCUGAAGAAUCCCAGGGAUGGGGGAGCCUGGUGGGCUGCCGUCUAUGGGGUCACACAGUCGGACACGACUGAAGUGACUUAGCAGCAGCAGCAGCAUAGUGAGUGGAAGAGCUCCCCUGGUGGCUCAGGUGGUAAUGAAUUUGCCUGCAGUGCAGGAGAUGACAGUUCGAUCCCUGAGUCAGGAAGAUCCCUUGCAGAAGGGAAUGGCUACCCACUCCAGUAUUCUUGCCUUAAGAGUUCCAUGGACUGAGGAGCUUGGCAGGCUACAGUUCAUGGGUUGCAACGAGUUGGCCACAACUGAGCAACACACACACAGUGAGUGGAAAAAAUGUGGUUGCAAAGAGCUGGACACAAUUGAGUAACACACACACACACACACACACACGAAUGUUCCCCUAAGCAGACACCUUCAGCCCUGAUGGGUUGCAAAAUGUUGAACACACACAGAAAGUAGAAAGAAUGUGGUUGCAAAGAGUUGGACAUGAUUGAGCAACACACACAGACACACACACACACAAAUGUUCCCCUAUGAGGUGGACACUUUCAGACACACACACAUAUGGGCC
ensembl:lncRNA